GAUAAAAUUAUUUUCUUUCAGUUUUUAAUUUCAGAUUGAACAUUUUAAAUUUCAACAAAGCGAAGAUCUCGAUAUUCGUUUCUUGGAAACAAAAGCGACACCUUCAUUACUCUCGAGAAUAUACACGUAGAUAUAAGAGAAAAGAAGGAAUUUUGCAAAAUGCAUCGCAAAUGCAUCCUACUAGUUCGAUCGUACGACUCUGACCUUGUCUGGAUGUUCACCCCGCGCGGUUCGUUCGCUCGAUGUUGGUUGAGUCGACUUUGGGACCGAGCCGGCUCUCACUUAUGUAAUUCGAAGCGGGUCACGGCCAGACACUCGAAAAACCCGCCUUUCUCCGCCGACAUUUGAAUCGGCCGCAUUGCAGAACGCUAGGAUACUAAAUGCAACCAGUCGUUUGGCAAGAACGUGUUGGCUAAAAAUUAAUAACAUGUACGUACUAUCCGCAAUAAGAGAUAUCGAUCAACGGAUACCAUGAAACGAUCAUGAUCAUCUUUAGUAGUAACGAGGAACGGAACUGGUUAUGAGAAUAUUAUCCGAUAUGUUAACGUCAAUUAUAAAGGUUCGUGUAUUAAAUCAGCAAUGUCACGCACGAUAUUACCGGCUGGAAACGAAUCUUUUCCAAAAGGAAGAAACAUAAAAGUAAGUUGGAAAGCGUGUGGAAGUAAAUUGGAACCAUGCAUGCCAUGCAUGCAGAUGAUUUUUUAGAAUGGCACGAUCAUAAAAAGCCGGUUUUACGCAUACAAAAUAAUUUAUGUAAUUCAGAGCCGGGGGUCGUGGUAAAAUUAGCCAACCCCGUGUACAAAUAUGCGAAGCGGCUUGGGCGCCGCCAUCUGCGUAUUUACAAAUGCAUCAUCAUUCUAUAAGUAAUGUUUUACGAUCAAACGUCUGUGGAAUCGGAUCAUAUGAUACAAAAAUAAAAGAAAGACUUUACUAUAUGUGCGUAUGAAAGAAAAAUUAUAAGUGAGUCGACAUAUAUAUAU